rnacentral:lncRNA from 1 species
UGUAAAUGUUAUGCUAUGUAUACUUUACCACAAUUUUAAAAAGUACACACACGGUGAAAAAAAAAAAAAACAAUUAGCUAACUGGUGAUUGUGUGAAGGAUGAACUGGAUUAGGCCAAGGUGAUCAAGAAGAUUGGUAGAUUAACGUGGUCAGGAGGUCAUGAGAACUUCAAAUGAGGCAGUGACCAUCAGGAAAAAAUUUGUAAGAAGAAUGGUCAGGACCAAAUGAGUUUGGUUUGGUCCUGCUGAGUUUGAGGCAUAUGGUGGAAACUGCCCAGCUCCCUCCUUCAGAAAUGAGACACUCUUUCCCUAGCUGGCCUGGUAUAGGCUGUUAAUGGCCACCAGCUGUGUUCCUUUAUGGGGCUCGCCCUUGGCUGAAAGGAGCUACAAGGAGUUCAUGGGUGACUUUGGCCAGAGGAGUUGAUGAGGAGAGGAAGGUCUGGGUUGCAGAGGAUGGAGGCCACAUGGGAGGCAGCAAGGGGUCACAGAACCUGAGUCUUGAAGGAAGGGCAGCAAUCAAAACAUGGGAAGACCUGCUAGGCAGGGAAAGUCAUGUAAACAAAGGAACCUGGGCUGGGGAGUCACCCACUUUGAAGGGAACUGCAAGGACGCCUAGAAAAGUGGGCAAUGCCUAGGCAUGGCUCUCUCAAAUGGUAGGCAGUGGAGUCUGAGUAGAUUCAGCCAGGGAGUCUCCACACCUGUGCCUGAGUUCUAAUGGAUUCAGGAUUCUUCCUCCUAGUGGGAACCAGAGGCAUUCUGUCCCCACAGUGUGGACUUGACCUUUCCUACAGGGUGGGUGUUUCAGUCCUGGCCUCCUUGGACUCCAUGUUUAUGAGUGCAGACGUAAUAAAUUUUCUGAAGUGAGUUCCAUUAAGCCAGUUUAACUCCCUGAUCAUUUUCCUAUCCCGUCUAGUAAAUGUGUUUCUAAUACUUUUUACUUUUAUUUUUAUUUUACUAACAUUAUUUUCCAAAAAAUGUAAUUUUGUUUUGUAUAUAUUAUACAGGAAGGAUUUAAUACAUCUCAUCUAAAAAAUUGUAUCCAUUAUAAAACUUCUGCCUUUGUGAAUUUUCUAUCGUGACCACUGUUU